CCUAUCUGCCGUGGGCGCUGGAGAACUGAGGGGGGCUGCUCCUAGUACGAGAGGACCGGAGUGGACGCAUCACUGGUGUUCGGGUUGUCAUGCCAAUGGCACUGCCCGGUAGCUAAAUGCGGAAGAGAUAAGUGCUGAAAGCAUCUAAGCACGAAACUUGCCCCGAGAUGAGUUCUCCCUGACUCCUUGAGAGUCCUGAAGGAACGUUGAAGACGACGACGUUGAUAGGCCGGGUGUGUAAGCGCAGCGAUGCGUUGAGCUAACCGGUACUAAUGAACCGUGAGGCUUAACCUU
rnacentral:rRNA from 1 species